UCCCUGGUAGCUCAGUUGGUAAAGAAUCUGCCUGCAAUGCAGGAGACCCUGGCUUGAUUCCUGGAUCGGGAA
rfam:TPA: Bos taurus chromosome 6, whole genome shotgun sequence.